CCCUUGGGACAUUCGGAUCUGACUAAAAGGUCCAUGAGAGUCUCACAGACAUGGAAAGCCAUGACAUGGUGGCAAAAAGCAAUCUAAAUUAAGGAUCCUGGUGAACAACACUCCAGCAGAAGGAUCAGGCCAUCAAGGAGAGAGGCGCCUUUCUCUGAAGGGAGGAAGGAACCUCCACUGUGAUAUGGCCUUGACUAAACAAAUUCAGAGUUCCUGAACUCAAGGGGCUUCCAUAGCCUAGACAGCUCAUAGCAACAGUCUUGGGUAAUUGCUGACAUCAUAAAUAAGAGUGCCAAUUGUUAAAUCAACAACGGGAGUCACUGGGUUCAUGCUCCCCACACAGGAUCUCUGUCCUUAAUAUGUUUAACUAUGAAACUUAAAAACAACACUACUAGUCAUACAAUACCCUAUACCUAGUUUGGUUGUGUGAGUGCAACCUGUUGAAAUCCCUGCUUAGUAUAUACUAAUUUGAUCUUCAGUAUAUUAAGUUUCUUCACAGGUUGAAUUAAAUGUUGGGAAAGAUUACAGCUCCAUACUAUUCCAAAACAUACUCAUUCUGAGUGCAACUUCAAACAGAAAAGUGCAUACUGCAUGAGUAGAGUGAAUGCUAAUACACUUGACUGGAGAACUGCAAAGUGUGUUCAUUUAUUCAGAUGAGCUGACCCUAUCUUUGAAAUGCUUUAAGUAUCAAUGAGAGUUAUCAAUGAAUGAAUGAAAGGAUGAGCCUGCAUCCUACAGCAGAGUAUCUGAGUUUGAUACCCAGCUCCAGCUCCUGAUUCCACUGUCCUGCCAUUGUGGGCCCUGGAAGGCAGCAGAAUGGCUCAGGUUACUGGACUCCUGUCAUCCACGUGUGGCUGGCACUGGGGAAGGAGCCAUCCAAUGAGAAU